rnacentral:rRNA from 1 species
GAUUUCUGGUACGGUGCGCUUGGCCCGCAUGGUUCUGCCAUGCGCGUGUCGGUGUGUGCCUGCCAUCUUUUCCAGUGGCUCACAGCCUGCACUUAACUGGGCGGGUUGCGGUGCUGGAUCGUUUACUUUGAAAAAAUUAGAGUGUUUAAAGCAAGCUUAGUGCGUUGAAUACAUUAGCAUGGAAUAAUAAUUUAGGACUUUAUUCCUAUUUUAUUGGUUUCUAGGAGUGAAGUAAUGAUUGAUAGGGAUAGUUGGGGGUGCUAGUAUUCAGCGGCCAGAGGUGAAAUUCUUGGAUUCGCUGAAGACUAACUAAUGCGAAAGCAUU